CCAUAUUCCAAUCCGUGCACUGGAGCAUCGAGCAGCCCAAUACAUAAGGAGGCCUUAGUCACCCGCCAUCAUACCACCCCCUCCAAUGACAGAAACAAGCAGUGGGGACGGCUCAGGACUAACCCCAGACACGGGGCUGGAUGAGGGGGAUUUUCUUCAAGAGCAGAAAGAGGACCUCAUGCUCCAGAAGGCUUGGGAGCAAGCUGGGGAAGCCACGGGGCCUGACCCCACAGAUGAGGUGCCGAGCAGAGGGCCCCGCUUCAUGCCUUGAGAAGCCUUGCUAAUUGAGCCCCGAAUCGGAAUUGGGACCCUGGAGUGCCGACCAGAAAGGAGAAGGCGCUGAGCAGGUUGGUGAGGAGCUUACGUCGCAACAACGGGAGAAGAUACAACGGCUGAUGCAGCGAUUUACCCAGGUUUUGUCGAUACACCCAGGGCGGACGACCCUCCUGAGUCAUCACAUCGAGAUGGAGCCUGGGAUACCACAGGGCUGAUUAUUCAAAGAGCGAAACCACAAGAAAAAGGAAUUCAGUCUCCCAGACCGUUCCGUUUAGGUCAGUAGAAGAAGAAACACACAGAAUCAAUGUGGGUGGGAAGUGGAUUUCCCUAACAAAAUGAAUGAGAAACUCUUGAUUGAAUUAUACAGCUCAGUAGAUGUGAGGUUAUUUGGCGCUUAUGGGGAGGGAGAAGUAUUGGAUUUGUUCACUGUUGCUUUGUAUCUGUGCAUGUUUCUUGGUGAGCAUUCUCUCCACAGUGAUUGCUUUCUCUGUGAAUGAGCAAUGUACUUCUAAAUAGCUGAGCAACAGUACUUUAUCAGCCAUAGGCUGAUACUGGAGAGUCUAUAUGGAGAAAAUAUGAUGCCAUAAAAUGUAAACUCUCAUCUUAAACAAUGAUGGAGCGAUUUGUAUUCAACUGGACAUAAAAUGAAAAUGCUAUAGAAGUUCUCUAACUGCUCUAAAAAUUAACUGAAUAAGGAUUAAGAAUGAAUAAAAUCUUGGAGCAAAGAGUUUGGAAAAGACCAGCACCAAAUGCUAAUCUAAAAUCUGCUGGAGUUGGAUAUAAAAUAACUGAAAAACGGAUACACUCAGAAAUAAUAAAAGACGAGUAUAGGACUGAAUUCUGGGACUGGUCUCAGUAUAGCUGACAAUGUUGGUUUGGACUCAUGUAAACUAUGGAUUCAAAGGCUUCUCAUUUUGUUUCUAUGUGCCUUAUAUCCAGUGGACCAUGGUGAAAACAAGAAAUAGACAAUUUACCCUUUUAUAAGAGAAGGCUAUUAAUGCAGCCUGAUGCAAAUAGUGGGGGAGGGGGGGUUCAAAAUGCUGCAGGGAUAUUGUCCUCCUUUUCUUUCAGAUUCUGACUUAAUGACUACAUAGCACCAUCUAGAGCCGUAAGAGGCAUUAACAGUACCUUUGCCAGAUCUGUCAUUCAGCUUCAAACAUCAUUUUUUCCACAUAUCCAUGGGACAGUUCUGUUAGAAAGCACCGAAUAUCUACAAUCCCUAGGUGAAAGGUAUGUUAGAAAGAUAAUAGAUACAAAACUCCCACACAUACCCAGGUUUUAGUCAUGAUGUGUGUGCAUUUCCUUUAGCUUCUUUCUCGUGUUAGUUUAACAUUUAAUGGAGAGUCUCAGCUGUUCAGAAACUUUUAAUACUACAGCAAGUAACUCUAAUCCCUAGAGCGGGGUAGGAACCCUUUUUGGGUCGGGGGCUGCUGACCCAGAAAAAUCAGUCGGGGGCCGACAUAAGUGAGAAGCAAAAAUAUUUUUAACCCCCCCCCCAUUGAUGUGGCCCCCAGCUGAGGAGAAAGACCCUCCCCACAUCCCUCUCACAUACCAGACCUUAGGAGGGCCCAGCCUAGUAGAUUUUGUGUGUUCCAGUCCUGUGGUGGGGUAGCGGGGGGCACCAGCAUGGACUCCCUGAGCCUUGGGGGUUGGAUCCAGACAACCCGGGGGCACCCCUGGACCUUAGAGCCCCCACCCCUGCUCUAGACCUUAGUGUGUCAUGUGCCACUGAUCUAUCAGGCACUCCAGUUCCUCCACUGACUACGAUUGGUUGCUUCCCAUGCUGUGUCUUCUGAGGUGAUGCCAGUGCUUUUUAUAUUUUCUGUCCCUAUCUUCUGUAUUCCUUGCUUCCCCCUCCCCCCAGGUGUACAUGUACCAACCAUCUGGCCUUCAUCUGGUAUUUUUAACAUGUCUUGCUCUGUCAGCUCCCUUCAUCUUGCAUUUGUUGUUGUUCUUGGAUUUUGUUUGUUUUUGUGUCGCCACGAAAUGUGUAGUAGUCUCCUCAGCCAUCAGUAAUGGGCAGUCUCCAAUUUGGUAUUGCUGACCAAGUCACUGCUCUCUACAGUAGCUUGGUAAGUAUAAUUGCCUGGAAUCAGUUGACCUUCAUCUUCACCUGCUUGGAUCUUAUGUGCGCUGCUUUUCCAGAUCUCAUAUGAAUAGCUAUGUCAUGGCCACCCUCAAAUGGCAUCUCACUCAAAUGGCAAACUGCUGUGUGCUUGAUUUCUUUUACAUAGCUCUGCAUCUGUUAUCCAGCUCUUUGCCUUCAUAAUCUUAGGGGGGGUUAUCUCUAUUUGCUUUCUCUUCUACCGAUGAGGAAUGGGCAAUCAUUCCAUUCCAUAUCAUACUUACAAAAACAACGCCAUUGUCAAAGACAGGGUCGUGGAACUGGGGGUCUCCACUAAACCAUUUCACCCUGUUCAUGAAGACUUUUGUCGCCCAUUUCAUCACCCAGCUAUUGCUUGUGCAAAGAAGAUGGGUGAUAAUACACACCCUUGAAAAAGUCCAGACACAGUAUCAAACCAUCCACUCAGGCCUGCCUUCUGUCUUACUGCACAUGUACUUCCAUCAUAUAAAGUCCUCAUUAUGCUGAUCCGUUUGUCUGGUAUUCCAUAGCUCCUAGCAAUGACUCACAGUGUCUUUGCGAACACUCUAGAAUGCUUUCUGGACUAAAAUGGAUUUUUGCCAAGUAGUAUCUUUUUCAAAGAUUUGGUGACAGUGAAUAUUAGUCUGCAAUAUAAUCUGUCUGUUCCUCUUGAAUUGAUGCAUAUGCCGCCUUUAUCAUUCAGCAAGACGUUAACCAGGAUUGAGAGUAGCUCAGUGUUUCUCCAGUUCAUGCACUGUGUAAGAUCAGCCAUUUUUUGCAAUGCCACAAUGAUACUAUUUUCCCAGGCUCAUGGUAUUUGUUAUUUCACCCACAUUUCAUUACAUUUUUGUUAGCUCCUUCGUCAGAAUUUUGUC